UGGUGAAGUUAGUGAGGUUCCUACACAACACUGGGAGACGUCAUUGAGGUACAGUGUCCCUACACAACAAAGAGGUGAAGUUAGUGAGGUACAGUGUCCCUACACAACAAAGAGGUGAAGUUAGUGAGGUUCCUACACAACACUGGGAGACGUCAUUGAGGUACAGUGUCCCAACACAACAAAGAGGUGAAGUUAGUGAGGUUCCUACACACACUGGGAGACGUCAUUGAGGUACAGUGUUCCUACACAACACUGGGAGACGUCAUUGAGGUACAGUGUCCCUACACAACAAAGAGGUGAAGUUAGUGAGGUUCCUACACAACACUGGGAGACGUCAUUGAGGUACAGUGUCCCUACACAACAAAGAGGUGAAGUUAGUGAGGUACAGUGUCCCUACACAACAAAGAGGUGAAGUUAGUGAGGUUCCUACACAACACUGGAAGACGUCAUUGAGGUACAGUGUCCCUACACAACAAAGAGGUGAAGUUAGUGAGGUACAGUGUCCCUACACAACAAAGAGGUGAAGUUAGUGAGGUACAGUGUCCCUACACAACAAAGAGGUGAAGUUAGUGAGGUUCCUACACAACACUGGGAGACGUCAUUGAGGUACAGUGUCCCUACACAACAAAGAGGUGAAGUUAGUGAGGUACAGUGUCCCUACACAACAAAGAGGUGAAGUUAGUGAGGUUCCUACACAACACUGGGAGACGUCAUUGAGGUACAGUGUCCCUACACAACAAAGAGGUGAAGUUAGUGAGGUUCCUACACAACACUGGGAGACGUCAUUGAGGUACAGUGUCCCUACACAACAAAGAGGUGAAGUUAGUGAGGUUCCUACACAACACUGGGAGACGUCAUUGAGGUACAGUGUCCCUACACAACAAAGAGGUGAAGUUAGUGAGGUUCCUACACAACACUGGGAGACGUCAUUGAGGUACAGUGUCCCUACACAACAAAGAGGUGAAGUUAGUGAGGUUCCUACACAACACUGGGAGACGUCAUUGAGGUACAGUGUCCCUACACAACAAAGAGGUGAAGUUGGUGAGGUACAGUGUCCCUACACAACAAAGAGGUGAAGUUAGUGAGGUUCCUAC